rnacentral:tRNA from 2 species
ACUAUUUUGGCAGAAAAAUGUAAUGAUUUUAGAAGUCAUAAAUAUAUAAAUUAUUAUAUAGAUAGUA